rnacentral:rRNA from 1 species
UUACCAUGCAGUCGAGCGGGGAGAGUAGCUUGCUACUUAACCUAGCGGCGGACGGGUGAGUAAUGCUUAGGAAUCUGCCUAUUAGUGGGGGACAACAUCUCGAAAGGGAUGCUAAUACCGCAUACGUCCUACGGGAGAAAGCAGGGGACCUUCGGGCCUUGCGCUAAUAGAUGAGCCUAAGUCGGAUUAGCUAGUUGGUGGGGUAAAGGCCUACCAAGGUGACGAUCUGUAGCGGGUCUGAGAGGAUGAUCCGCCACACUGGGACUGAGACACGGCCCAGACUCCUACGGGAGGCAGCAGUGGGGAAUAUUGGACAAUGGGGGGAACCCUGAUCCAGCCAUGCCGCGUGUGUGAAGAAGGCCUUUUGGUUGUAAAGCACUUUAAGCGAGGAGGAGGCUGCCGAGAUUAAUACUCUUGGAUAGUGGACGUUACUCGCAGAAUAAGCACCGGCUAACUCUGUGCCAGCAGCCGCGGUAAUACAGAGGGUGCAAGCGUUAAUCGGAUUUACUGGGCGUAAAGCGCGCGUAGGUGGCCAAUUAAGUCAAUGUGAAAUCCCCGAGCUUACUUGGGAAUUGCAUUCNAUACUGGUUGGCUAGAGUAUGGGANAGGAUGGUANAAUCCCAGGUGUANCGGUGAAUGCGUAAANAUCUGGNGAAUACNAUGGCNAAGCAGCCAUCUGGCCUAUACUGACACUGAGGGCGAAGCAUGGGAGCAAAA